rnacentral:rRNA from 1 species
AUACGUAGGGGACGAGCGUUGUCCGGAAUUACUGGGCGUAAAGGGCGCGUAGGCGGCCCGGUAAGUCUGGAGUGAAAGUCCUGCUUUUAAGGGGGGAAUUGCUUUGGAAUCUGUCGGGCUUGAGUGCAGGAGUGGGAAGCGGAAUUCCCUGUGUAGUGGUGAAAUGAGUAGAGAUUGGGAGGAACACCAGUGGCGAAGGCGACUUACUGGACUGUAACUGACGCUGAGGCGCGAAAGUGUGGGGAGCAAACAGGAUUAGAUACCCUGGUAGUCCACACUGUAAACGAUGAAUGCUAGGUGUAGGGGGUAUCGACCCCUUCUGUGCCGCAGUUAACACAAUAAGCAUUCCGCCUGGGGAGUACGGCCGCAAGGUUGAAACUCAAAUGAAUUGGCGGGG